UACGUAGGGUGCAAGCGUUUGUCCGGAAUUAUUGGGCGUAAAGAGCUCGUAGGCGGUUUGUCGCGUCUGCUGUGAAAACCCGAGGCUCAACCUCGGGCCUGCAGUGGGUACGGGCAGACUAGAGUGCGGUAGGGGAGACUGGAAUUCCUGGUGUAGCGGUGAAAUGCGCAGAUAUCAGGAGGAACACCGGUGGCGAAGGCGGGUCUCUGGGCCGAUACUGACGCUGGAGGAAGCGAAAGCCGUGGGGAGCGAACAGG
rnacentral:rRNA from 1 species